AGAGUUUGAUCAUGGCUCAGAAUGAACGCUGGCGGCGUGCUUAACACAUGCAAGUCGAGCGGGGCGGAGGGGGCAACUCCUCUAGCCGAGCGGCGGACGGGUGAGUAACACGUGGGUAACCUGCCCGGAAGUGGGGAAUACCUCGGGGAAACUCGAGCUAAUGCCGCAUAAAAUCUCCGGGACGAAAGUCCUGGCGAUCAAAGCGGGGUCGCAAGAUCUCGCGCUACCGGAUGGGCCCGCGCCCGAUUAGCUAGUUGGUGAGGUAAUGGCUCACCAAGGCAACGAUCGGUAGCCGGCCUGAGAGGGUGAUCGGCCACACCGGAACUGAGACACGGUCCGGACUCCUACGGGAGGCAGCAGUGGGGAAUCUUGCGCAAUGGGCGAAAGCCUGGCGCAGCAACGCCGCGUGGAGGAUGAAGGCCCUUGGGUUGUAAACUCCUGUCGGCUGGGAAGAACUCGUACGAUGCUCAUACCAUCGUGCGUUGACUGUACCAGCAAAGGAAGCCCCGGCUAACUCUGUGCCAGCAGCCGCGGUAAUACAGAGGGGGCUAGCGUUAUUCGGAAUUAUUGGGCGUAAAGGGCGCGUAGGCGGCCUUGCGUGUCUUUCGUGAAAUCCCUCGGCUUAACUGAGGACGUGCGGAAGAAACUGCAGGGCUUGAGUCCGGGAGAGGGGGGUGGAAUUCCCAGUGUAGCGGUGAAAUGCGUAGAUAUUGGGAGGAGCACCGGUGGCGAAGGCGGCCCCCUGGACCGGUACUGACGCUGAGGCGCGAAAGCGUGGGGAGCAAACGGGAUUAGAUACCCUAGUAGUCC
rnacentral:rRNA from 1 species